CCUCCUCCUCUCUCACAUGUGACCUUAAAUCCUGAGGACUCAUGGAAUUCAGAGUCAGUCAGACCUGGGUUUGAAUCUAGCCCCAUCUCUUCUCAGCUGUGCAUUUCGGUGACUGCUGUAGAGACAUCGGAGUUGCAGAAAACACUGCCCCGUCCUUAUGGCAUUUACAGCCUAAUGAGUAGGAAGGCUUUCUGCAAAUGGAAGAAAAAUCUCAGUGCCUUUAAUACUUCCCUCUCUCCUGUCACCUUUAUGACUUAUGCUGCCAAAAGUAAUCAUUUUUAAUGAGAAUUCUCAACCAUAAA